AGGAUGAACGCUGGCGGUCUGCUUAACACAUGCAAGUCGAACGGGCGUAGCAAUACGUUAGUGGCGGACGGGUGAGUAACGCGUGAGAAUCUACCUUCAGGACGGAGACAACAGUUGGAAACGACUGCUAACCCCCGAUGUACUGAAAAGGCAAAUAUUUAUAGCCUGAAGAAGAGCUCGCGUCCGAUUAGCUAGUUGGAGAGGUAAAAGCUCACCAAGGCGACGAUCGGUAGCUGGUCUGAGAGGACGAUCAGCCACACUGGGACUGAGACACGGCCCAGACUCCUACGGGAGGCAGCAGUGGGAAUUUUCCGCAAUGGGCGAAAGCCUGACGGAGCAAGACCGCGUGGGGGAAGAAGGCUCUUGGGUUGUAAACCCCUUUUCUCUGGGAAGAAAGUUGUGAAAGCAGCCUGACGGUACCAGAGGAAUCAGCAUCGGCUAACUCCGCGCCAGCAGCCGC
rnacentral:rRNA from 1 species